GUCAGGCGUGGUGGUGCACACCUGUAGUCCCAGCUACUGGGGAGGCUGAGGUGGGAGGAUUGCUUGAGCCCUGGAGGUCAAGGCUGCAGUGAGCUGUGAUCGCACCACUGCACUCUAGCCUGGGCAACAGAGCAAGACCCUGUCUCAA
ensembl:misc_RNA Metazoa_SRP Metazoan signal recognition particle RNA